rnacentral:rRNA from 1 species
CCAAUAGCGUAUAUUAAAGUUGUUGCAGUUAAAAAGCUCGUAGUUGAAUUUCGGGAUCAAUACGUCGGUCGUGCCUUUGGUACGUACUAAUGUCAUUGAUUUCUCCUUUCUGAUGAAUCAUGAUGUCAUUAAUUUGAUGUUGUGGGGAGUCAGGACUGUUACUUUGAAAAAAUUAGAGUGUUUAAAGCAGGCACGCGCUUGAAUACAUUAGCAUGGAAUAAUGAAAUAGGACGUUCGAUUCUAUUUUGUUGGUUUCUAGGAUCAACGUAAUGAUUAAUAGGGAUAGUUGGGGGCAUUAGUAUUCAAUUGUCAGAGGUGAAAUUCUUGGAUUUAUUGAAGACUAACUACUGCGAAAGCAUUUGCCAAGGAUGUUUUCAUUAAUCAAGAACGAAAGUUAGGGGAUCGAAGACGAUCAGAUACCGUCGUAGUCUUAACCAUAAACUAUGCCGACUAGGGAUCGGAUGAUGUUAAUUUUUUAAUGACUCAUUCGGCGCCUUACG